rnacentral:rRNA from 1 species
GACGAACGCUGGCGGCGUGCUUAACACAUGCAAGUCGAACGGAAAGGCCCUGCUUUUGUGGGGUGCUCGAGUGGCGAACGGGUGAGUAACACGUGAGUAACCUGCCCUUGACUUUGGGAUAACUUCAGGAAACUGGGGCUAAUACCGGAUAGGAGCUCCUGCUGCAUGGUGGGGGUUGGAAAGUUUCGGCGGUAGGGAUGGACUCGCGGCUUAUCAGCUUGUUGGUGGGGUAGUGGCUUACCAAGGCUUUGACGGGUAGCCGGCCUGAGAGGGUGACCGGCCACAUUGGGACUGAGAUACGGCCCAGACUCCUACGGGAGGCAGCAGUGGAGAAUAUUGCACAAUGGGCGGAAGCCUGAUGCAGCAACGCCGCGUGCGGGAUGACGGCCUUCGGGUUGUAAACCGCUUUCGCCGGUGACGAAGCGUGAGUGACGGUAAUGGGUAAAGAAGCACCGGCUAACUACGUG